GUGUUUGCUUUCACAGCACAUAUAUUAAAAAUUUGGAAUAACACUGAGAAGAUUAGCAUGACCCCUGCCCGAGGAUGACACACAAAUUUGUUAAGCUUUUCAUAUUUUU
ensembl:snRNA U6 U6 spliceosomal RNA